rnacentral:tRNA from 1 species
GGGGGUGUAGCUCAGUGGUAGAGCACUUGCCUAGCAAGAACAAGGUCCUGGAUUAAAUUUUCAGAUAUCUCUC